rnacentral:lncRNA from 1 species
CAAACACGCGCAAGUAAACCAUUUUUGGUUACAUGAGUAAAAAAUUUUAGGAAUAAACUAGAAAUGUGGUAGCUUCACCGAAGGGCACCUGCGUAGAUGAAAAGCAGCGUUUCCAGGAAGUCUGAGGCUUCACUUUUUCCUUGUGAAAUUUGUACCUCGCAACACUCUUCACCUCCACUCCCUCCCUGAGUCUCCUGCUGGCUGGCUCUUGGUUUCUCGAUGCCAUUCUUAUUUCCGGCUACUGAUGGUCAAAUGCAGUUUUUAUUCCCACUUCCCCUCUCCAUCCCCGACCCGAGCUGACGUUCGACCAGCAAACCACAGCCAACGCCCGCAACGGAGUUCAGUUAAGAAGGCGCGUGGGAGGUGUGGGGAAUGACAGGAGCACUCUGGCCCCAAGGUUUUCAUUUCAGUUUUUAUUGGAGUCGAUUGCUGCUAUCCAUUCUCAGCCCCUGACAACCCAGGCUGGAGUGCAAUGGCGUGAUCUCGGCUCACUGCAACCUCCAUCUCCUGGGUUCAAGCGAUUCUCCUGC